GCCUCUGAACUUCCAAGUCAAUGCAAUUUUUAACCACUGGCUUGUGGUACUUUGAAAAUCACCAGGGGCUGUCAGAGUUGGGUCCUCUGAAAAAUUUACAGUGCUAAAUCAGAGCAUAUGCUGUGAGAGAGGGAAAAAAUUGCUUAAGAUUGGAGCAAGUACAGUAUCUGUCUGCCCCCUAGUGUAAGUCUCUUAUCUACCUAAAAUUCAACUUUAAAAGAAAAGGAUCUCUUAAAGGGAAACGACUUUUGGCUCACGUAUGCAUACGAGAAUGAAACUUCUGUGCAUUUUAAUCUGAUUAAUUCCUAAGGAUUUAAAAUUAAUUGGCUUGGACACUCCUAGACGGACAGUUAGAUUUCUGCAUCAGAGUUUCUCCAAGCCGUGUGUUGAAUAGGUAUUUUUAAGCGGGGGCUGGGGGGGGGACUGGUUUGUGAUUUUUUUUUAAAUGAGAAGCCAUGCCUCUCAUGCUUUUGUCAGAACAGAGCAGUUUUGCUGCUUAAAGUCAGAUCUGCACCUUUUGGAUAAGGAUAAAUAUUUGCCUUAAAGCUGCAGACCAGCUGCCAACCGCACCUUCCGAUGUAUGAAAAUAGAAAUAUGUUAACUACUGAGGCAGGUGGCAACAUUUCUGCUGUGAAGACCUGGGAAAUAAUCCACAUAAAAGAAUUUCGGAAAUGAAAGCUGUCUCUGCCAUCUUUUGUUUAAUUAACACAGGCACUAAGGUGCAAGUUCUUGUUGCCCAAUCCCCACCUUCAGCCAAAGGACAGGUAUGAGUAAUCCAUUGAAAGGAGAAAUCUAAAGACUAGAAGGUAAGCAAGGACUGAAGUAAAGCAGGCAUAUUCACGUGACAGGAACUGAUUCAUUUUUAUACCAAAAGAAGAUUUCCGAUGGGAGUUCUCACCGGCUUGGAAUUAUUGCAAUGGCCGAGGCUUGAUUCACUGCAAAGACAAGUACAUAAUUUAUUCACUGUUUAGUAUUAUUAUUAUUUCACUCUGGGAUCAAGUGGGAAAAAAAAGUUGGGUUCUCAAGAAGAAAGCCCCAGAUUUAGACACAAUUAGAGCAAGAGUAAAAUUUCAGGGCAAGUGGAUUCAUGUUCAAGUUGGAUUUUCCCCAGGGCAAAAGUUUAUCUUUAAUCCCCAGCCCAGCCACAAAGCUUUACUUGACCAUUUCUUGUUCUAUUCAGUAAAACGUAUAUUGUUACCAUAGCAGCAGCUGCAUCAUUUAUACAUCAAAUUAUUUUAUCAGUUCGGCCCCUUGAGAUAUAGCAUUUCACUUGUAAGGGAUCCUAUAAUACACAUUAGUUAUGCUACCUCUUCCUUCUGAUGGGUUGAGGAAUUUUUUUAUGCUAUUCAUAUUUUACAGUGCAUUGAAACAUUUCCUUGCAUUUUAUUUGAAUAUCUUAGGAUGUUGCAAGGCAGUAAUACAAAGAUGCAAAAAUAGCUCUUGGCAUGUAAUAUGGACAGGAGUUACAUGCAUUACAAUCUUUUCUUCGGCAGCUGUCAUUCCAGUCUAGAUUGUGAGACCCUCCCUCACAGCAGUUUCAGUCCUUUGCUGGCCCAUCAAAAUCAAGAAGCAAGAAAUGGCAUAACUAAUGUGUACUGUAGAAAUCAAUGGAACUGCUUGGGAGCACAGUUCUACUCAAUAUGAGUUAAGGUUGCACAAUUUAGGCCUCUAGUAAGAGUUACUACUGUUCCUACUUUGAAGAAACUUUAUUAAGUAGUUUUGACUUUGAAAUGGCAAUGGUACUACUAAUAUAAUUCAUUCUUUCUUUACUAUGUGAUUUGUCCUAUCCUGGGUAUCAUGAAGGGUUACUCUUGCCCUAGCUAGCAUUCAUUCAGUACUCAGCUAAAUCUUCCAAUGGAGAUCCUCAGAUUUCACUUUGUGUCUGCAGGUAAUACAUGGAGGGCUUCCCAGUUAAUGACAAGGUUGUAUGUAGGUAGAGAUAGCAGCAAAGCUAGAUUUAUGCAUCAAGACUCAAAGCCUUUCUAACUUCUGGAUGGUUUGAUGCAUUCACUGAAGUCUGGCCAACAUGACCCGAGGGUAUUUGCAUUGUUGAGAAGUUUCCAUACAUUCUGCUUCCCUUUCUUUCUCUCUAUUCGCAACAAGUCCUGGAACUAUCUUUGAAGACAUUUAAGGUAAGAAAGGGAGCAUUAAUUUUUGUUGUGGGCAAGAAGUUAAUUUAUUUAGUUAUAUCUAGGAUCUAGUAUCUAGUAGCACUGGAGCACAAAACACAGUAAUUUUUCAAAGAGAUUUCUAUAGGAACUCUGCCUCUUCCUUAGGAAGCUUUGCCCCUGUCUCUUUCUCUUUUUCUUUCAUUUUUGCUAUUCUCAUUCCUUGUCUUUGGUUAUUGCUACAAAGCUUUUGUAAAACCUGAGUAUGGCGAAUGGUUUGUUUGGAUUCAGUCCUAUCCCUUCCAGUACUUUUGUUCCACAGUUGAGGACACAGAAACCAAGAAUGCCUUAGCUCUGGCUCCUGUGAGUUUUGUCUAGCCGCCUGCAGGUGCAUCAUCCCAGAGAAACACAGCUGUUGCUAGAGGACACUCUCUGAUGUAGCUGGGCCUCAGCCCAUUUAUGUCAUAUGAUAUUGUUUCUCUGUCUUUUCCUGCUCAGAAGGAAAGCUGCUGCAUUCUGGAGAAGUGAGUUUAGUAACUUUCAUUUUCAACUCUGGAUACUGAGAACUGCUAAGGCCCAGCCUAGAAAUGAUGGACACACAGAUCAUUGUGGCCAGAUCCUCAACUAAGAAGACUGGAGUCCAGGUUUGCUGUUGUGGAGACCAGAGAAGAAGUAACAAAAAGAAAGGAAAAGAAACACUGCAGAAUAAAAGUACAUUUGAAAUGGAAGAAAUCUACAUUUCAAUGAAAAUACUUUUAAGGCAUUUCAGAUAACUGAGUGAAAUAAUUACAAAGUUUGGAAAUAGAGAACAGUAGCUUUGAUAUCUUUUUCUUCUGUGAAGCAAUUAAAAUAAGCAAUUUUUCAAAUACUAAGCAGAAAAUUGCUAAUGGUUGAACCCAAAAGCUUUCAUUUCGUUCCUGGAGUCUUUUUUCUUCUAAAAAAAGACCAAAAAAUAUUAAGGUGGUUUUCUAGAUAGAUUAAUGCAUAGAGCAGUUGUUAGUUGGAUGUCAUAAAAACUACAGCAGCACAGAAUAGCUGAGAUAAAGAGUCAGUUUUAAAUCAUGCAACAGUCCAGUUAAUAUCAAUGUAUAAUUAAGAAAAGCAUAAGAAGUCUCUAAUGGUGAUUUGAUGGAAAAAAACUCUAAUAGGGUUUCUUUUGGAAUUUUCCAUUUCAAUCACUCUUGUAGAUAUUUAAUGGAUUUCCUACCCUGUCUUUGGCAUUCGCGGGAAUUAUCCAAAAGUUAAAAUCAAGCCCUAAAAUGGAACACAGGUAGACAAAUUAGCCCAUCUGGAGAGCAGUCUUUAUAGAAUGAGAAUGUGAGCUCACACUGAAAAUUUAAUACAAAUGUCUCAAAUCUGGUGUGAAAACCCUAUUUGCCAUAUAAUCUUAAGCAAUGUAAUACUAACCCAUUUCCUCACCUUUCUAAUCCUGCUGAAAUUCUGAACAAUUCAGAAAUACUAAACUAUGGGCUAUUAAACAUAACUAAUUAGUCUAUUUAAAUGGCAAGGUUUUCUCCAGUCAUGUAUCUUAGUAGUACAUUGAGGUGGGUUCUUCCAUUGCUGACAGAGAGAUUUAGAGUACAUGGUUCUCCAUUAAUGUCAUGGAGUUUCAUGAAUCUCCCACUUGUCACAGGAUAACUAGAUCCUUGGCUCACCCAUGUCCUAGAUCCCUUGAAUGAAGCUAAAGGGGUGGCACCUGCCGUACCAUAGAAAUCAUCAAGGACGUUUGGCCAGCUACCGCUAUAGGACAGAUGCUGCUUUCAUGGUUAUGCCUUGAAUGUCUAGGGUGCGCUGAAGUUGUAAAAUUAACAGCACUGUGUAGCUAUCUCAGCAUGUACACAACCACUUAGCAAAGAGGGGAGAAGGACUGGCACUGGAUUAAAGCACAAUAUAUUUGUUGCCAUCACUUUGUUGUUGGCCCAAUGAAAGCUGAGGGAAUUAUCUCCAGAAUCCAGGAAGACUGCAAACUGAAAAAAACCUAGUACCUCAGAAGCAGGCACAGCAAAAAGUGAUUUUAUACUUCAUUAGAACAUAUUAGACUACAAUACACUGACCAGAGUAAAACAGGGUCCAUUUUUCCAUCUGUCUAUAUAUUCCUUUCCAAUACUAAAUCUAUCUGGAGACCUUUCAAAAUUAUAUUAUUAAACACUGCCCCUUUCCUUAGCAAAUAAAAAGCUGAAAAGAAUGGAGAUAAACCAGAGUAACGUACAACAGUGAUAGCUCUACAGUCUGAUUCACCAUUACUA